AUUGAACGCUGGCGGCAGGCCCAAAACAUGCAAGUCGAACGGGUGGCGGACGGGUGCGUAAUGUCUGGGAAACUGCCUGAUGGAGGGGGAUAACUACUGGGAACGGUCGCUAAUACCGCAUACAAUCAGAUGUGCCCAGAUGGGAUUAGCUAGUUGGUGGGGUAACGGCGCACCAAGGCGACGAUCCCUAGCUGGUCUGAGAGGUUGCCCAGCCACGCUGGAACUGAGCCACGGUCCAGACUCCUACGGGAGGCAGCAGUGGGGAAUAUUGCACAAUGGGCGCAAGCCUGAUGCAGCCAUGCCGCGUGUAUGAAGAAGGCCUUCGGGUUGUAAAGUACUUUCAGCGGGGAGGCGUUACCCGCAGAAGAAGCACCGGCUAACUCCGUGCCAGCAGCCGCGGUAAUUC
rnacentral:rRNA from 1 species